rnacentral:rRNA from 1 species
UACGGAGGGUGCGAGCGUUGUCCGGAAUCACUGGGCGUAAAGGGCGCGUAGGUGGCACGGGUAGUCGUCGGUGAAAGCUCAGGGCUCAACCCUGAGUCGGCCGGUGAUACUCCCGAGCUCGAGUGUGGUAGAGGCCAAUGGAAUUCCGGGUGUAGCGGUGGAAUGCGUAGAGAUCCGGAAGAACACCGGUGGCGAAGGCGGCCUGCUGGGCAGUUGCUGACACUGAGGCGCGACAGCGUGGGGAGCAAACAGG